rnacentral:ncRNA from 3 species
UCUGUAGGUGAACCUGCGGAAGGAUCAUUA